AACGUUUAAUUUUAAUCAAAUAUAUAUUUUUGUUUCUGUGCUUUUGUUAAAUUCUGUUUUAUGUUACUAUAAUCUUUUAACUGAUCCAUUCCCUGAUGUAGAUUACUGGUGGUAAUCGAAAUAUUGGAAAAAUUUAAAAUAAAACAAUUAAUCAAAAACACCGAUAUCUGUUUUUAAUAAUUGUACAUGGCCUCAAGCCGAACUAUCCACGAAAUUAUAGCCAAAAAGGGUCAAAAAUACGCAAUAUAAAAUUUAACUUUAACUGCGUGCUCUGUUAAAAAAGUUCAGCCAUUUCAUCGACGAAGCUCACUUUUGGCUCAAUGGCUACAUAAAUAAGCAGAAUUGUCGAUUUUGGAGUGAAGAUCAGCCAGAGACAUUGCAAGAGAUUUCAAAGCAUCCAGGAAAAGAAACAUAACUGUGAAUGACAUGUUGUUUCAACAAGACGGUGCCACAUGCCACACAGCACGUGUAACUAUGGACUUAUUGAGAGGCGAGUUCGGUGAACAUUUUAUUUCACUUUCCGGACCGGUUAAUUGGGCAUCUAAAUCAUGCGAUUUAACACCUUGUCUCAUGUCCAUGCAGACAAGCCCGCUUCAAUUGACGCAUUGGAAGACAACAUUAAAGCAUUUAUUCGUGCGAUUGAAAUGUUGAAAAUAUUAUGCCAAACUUGGACUAAUCGGAUGGACCAUUUGAGGCGUAGUCUCGGUCAAAAUUUGCAUGAAAUAAUCCUCAAACAUUAAAUUAUAUAGACCUUACUAUCGUUUCAAAUAAAGAUUUCAUGUAUUUUCUGAA